rnacentral:rRNA from 1 species
AACGUACGCUGGCGGCACGCCUAACACAUGCAAGUCGAGCGAGGUAGCAAUACCUAGCGGCAGACGGGUGCGUAACAUGUGGGAAUCUGCCUUUUGGUUCGGAACAACACGGGGAAACCUGUGCUAAUACCGGAUAAGUCCUUACGGAGAAAGUUUUAAUGCCAAAAGAUGAGCCCGCAUUUGAUUAGCUAGUUGGUGAGGUAAGAGCUCACCAAGGCGAUAAUCAAUAGCUGAUUUGAGAGGAUGAUCAGCCACACUGGGACUGAGAUACGGCCCAGACUCCUACGGGAGGCAGCAGUGGGGAAUCUUGCACAAUGGGCGAAAGCCUGAUGCAGCGAUGCCGCGUGAGUGAAGAAGGCCUUUGGGUUGUAAAGCUCUUUUGUCGGGAAAGAUAAUGACUGUACCCGAAGAAUAAGGUCCGGCUAACUUCGUGCCAGCAGCCGCGGUAAUACGAAGGGACCUAGCGUAGUUCGGAAUUACUGGGCGUAAAGAGUAUGUAGGCGGCUAGAUAAGUUAAUUGUGAAAGCCCAAAGCUUAACUUUGGAAUUGCAAUUAAAACUAUUUAGCUAGAGUGUGAUAGAGGAAAGCGGAAUACAUAGUGUAGAGGUGAAAUUCGUAGAUAUUAUGUAGAACACCAGUUGCGAAGGCGGCUUUCUGGAUCAUUACUGACGCUGAGAUACGAAAGUAUGGGUAGCGAAGAGGAUUAGAUACCCUCGUAGUCCAUACCAUAAACGAUGAUUAUUAGAUGUGGGGAAUUAUUUCUCUGUAUCAUAGCUAACGCGUUAAAUAAUCCGCCUGGGGAGUACGACCGCAAGGUUAAAACUCAAGUGAAUUGACGGGGACCCGCACAAGCGGUGGAGCAUGUGGUUUAAUUCGAAGCAACGCGCAGAACCUUACCAACCCUUGACAUGUUCGUCGCGAGGCUAAGAAAUUAGUCUCU